CUUAUUAGAGGAAUGGUUGAAAGGAUACUGUAUGGGUUACAGAUUCCCUAGGAAGUUUGAACCAUAAAAGGUCGGGAUUUAAGCGCUAAGUGGUGCAAAUCACGGCCCAAACCAUGCUCCCAAGCUUUCUUCACUGCCACUAUUACCCACCCUUCCAGAUCACAUGAACCCAAUUAAGUCCUUUUCUGGCCAGGUGCUGCUCCUGCCAAUGGAAGGACACCAGGUUCAACAAAGCGGAGAAGCAGCUUUAUUGUUAAUCAAAGAACGGGGAAGGCAGAGCGCUUGCUCUCAUUACCCCUUUCCCCCUAGGGGGCAGAAGUGAGAAACGGUUAGAGGAUAAGAGGUGGAUGGGCCAUCAGAAUUCAGGAAGAGGUGCAGCAAGGGCUAGAAACAGCUGGAGCACGCGUAGUCCUUUGGGACCCUUUGCCAGGUCAUUAAUUGGAGGCUGAUCUUGGCUGGUAAUCAGGCAAGGGCAACUUUCCCACCCCUUUGGUCUCAUCUGCGCGUGCGCUACCCUCAUGGUCAGGCUCAACUGGUUCAUAGCAGUUGCCUGUAGCCUUCUUGGCCUGUUCUCACACUGACUACUUCUGCAGUUUUCCUUAUGAGCUGUUUGCGUUAGUUUAUCAAGCAAGCACAGCAGUGGACAUAGAUUAAUAGAUUGUGAUGCAGAAAAAAAAAGGAAAGUAGGUUAUUCUCUGUAGGGGAGUGGGUCUCUUCCCAGUGACCCCACCACUGCCUCUGGAAACAUUCUCUGCCAGAGCUGGAAAAGAUUCUCCUGCGUCCUUGCUUCGGAUUAGCCAAGCCUGAAGUUUGGAUCCUUCCCCUGGCUACCAGCCUUGCCUGCAGCUAAAAUGACUGGCAUAAUUCACUUUCUGGCUGCAAGGAGCUGGGAAGUGGACUAUGAAGAAUCUCUCAUCUGCUGCUCGCUCAGCCUGUUUUCAGCAAUAUUAUCAGUCCUACACACCACAUCCAUUAUUUCAUGUGGCUUCUACCCUUUUACUCUGCUGCACAAAAAUAGGGAAAUCUCCUUUUUGUCCUUCAAACCUACCACAUGGUUUGGCUGCUUUUACCUGGUAUACAUUUGAAUCAGGCCCAACUACAAUUGUGGGAGGUGAUAUCUGUUGA
rnacentral:lncRNA from 1 species